CAAGUCGAACGAUGAAACCGCCCUCGGGCGGACAUGAAUGGCGAACGGGUGAGUAACACGUGACCAACCUGCCCCUUGCUCCGGGACAACCUUGGGAAACCGAGGCUAAUACCGGAUACUCCUCGCCCCCCCUCCCUGGGGGGCCCGGGAAAGCCCAGACGGCAAGGGAUGGGGUCGCGGCCCAUUAGGUAGUAGGCGGGGUAACGGCCCACCUAGCCCGCGAUGGGUAGCCGGGUUGAGAGACCGACCGGCCACAUUGGGACUGAGAUACGGCCCAGACUCCUACGGGAGGAGCAUG
rnacentral:rRNA from 1 species